UAGGGCGAAAGCCUGACGCAGCGACGCCGCGUACGGGAAGAAGGCCUUCGGGUUGUAAACCGUUUUCAGGAGGGACGAAGCCACUCGGGUUAAUAGCCCAGAGGGUGACGGUACCUCCAGAAGAAGCCCCGGCUAACUACGUGCCAGCAGCCGCGGUAAUACGUAGGGGGCAAGCGUUGUCCGGAUUUAUUGGGCGUAAAGAGCGUGUAGGCGGCCAAACAGGUCCGACGUGAAAUUCCGAGGCUCAACCUCGGCAGGUCGUUGGAAACCGUAUGGCUAGAGUCCGGAAGAGGAGAGUGGAAUUCCUGGUGUAGCGGUGAAAUGCGCAGAUAUCAGGAAGAACACCGAUGGCGAAGGCAGCUCUCUGGGACGGUACUGACGCUGAGACGCGAAAGCGUGGGGAGCGAACAGGAUUAGAUACCCUGGUAGUCCACGCCGUAAACGAUGGGUGCUAGGUGUGGGCGGUGUCGACUCCGUCCGUGCCGAAGCUAACGCAUUAAGCACCCCGCCUGGGGAGUACGGCCGCAAGGCUA
rnacentral:rRNA from 1 species